GAACCUCGGAGCAUCUGCUGGGGUGGGGCCCACAUACCGAGAUUUUUUUUGGAACAUCUGAAAAGUCAUAUGAAUCACAUAUGUAAAGUUAAACACAACUCAUGAAGUACCUUUGGACCAAAUCAAAGUGGAAACCCUCCAAACGAAUAUUUUUAAGAAAACGUUUUCGGGUGACCUGACUUUGGGGGGCAAAAACUGUAUUGUAAGUUUGGAAUUUCGAAAAUACCUUGAAAUAGAAGUUGUAGAUAAUUGAAUUAGCUUUCCAUCCAUAGGUCGUGGGUUCCCAGGUGACGUCGGUACAAGGAGAUAUGAACGUUUUAAGGUCGAAAGGUCAGUGGGCUAGGCCCAACUCGGGACCAACCGAGUUGGCCCAAAAAAAUGAAAAAAAAAAAUUCAGGCCCAAGUGAGGAGCCAUUCGGCCAUGGUCCAUAAAAAGGAUCCAAGCCCAUGGAAUUAAGUCAUGUGGUCAAUGAAUAAAAGACCACUUAAUCAUCCAAAUUCCAUAGAACUUUCAAGAGAAAGAAUAGGAGGAAAAACAAGAGAAAAACAAGAACAAAAAGAGGGCAUUUCGGGUUUGGCCAUAGAAAAAUCACCCCUCAAAAUCUUGCCUCUAAAAUUAUUUUCUUGUUGAAUUCCUACUAAAUUAAGUGUCCUCUACAACUUGGUGUAAUUAUUUUGGAAGAAGGAGCACUUAUUUCUUCAAGUUGACAACUUGUUCAAGUGAAGAAGUUUGUAGAAAAAGUUUUUCGACGAAACGGGAAGUGAGUUUGGAAAGGCUUAAGGAGCGCGAAAGGUACUGACGACAGGUUCGCUGAUCCACACGUUUAGGAUCCUAUUUCUGCUAUUUGGGGCGCUCUCUUCUACAGAGCCCAUCUUUUGGUACAGUCUGUCACUGCUAUCUGGAUAUGUACUUUGUUCAGGGUAUGACGGGGCCCUGUCCCGUCUUAUGAUUAUGAUAUGUUCUGUAGAGGUCUGUGGAUACAUCUGUGUGGGUUCUGUACAUAUGUUUGGGAUAUUCUGUUCUGUGAUGGCCUUAUCGGCCUA